UUUUCUUUGAGGAUUGUUAACUAGGGAAAAGCACCCUUCAAUUUCCCCUCUGACAACCUCCCAGGCACAGAGGCCUUAUUCCCUUUACUUCACAUAGGGAAUGAUUCUUUGGAAAUAUUUCCAGACAGCAAUUCCUAAAUAGAGACAAGAUAGAUUUUCUACUUUUGCAGAAAUGUACUUUUGUCAGCUGCAGUCGUUCCAGACUGUGAUCAAGUCUGGAGAGUCGUUUAUUGAGGAGGAUCUUAUGCCAAACAGCCAGUGUGUCGUCCCUGGGGAAGAGGCUGAAGAUCUGCUGGAGCAGCUGACGGUGGAAACGGAUGUCUCCUGUCUUCUGGAUUUGGCCAUGGCUCCAAGACUUGUCCCUGCCAAGUGAGCAGGCAGCGCUGGAGAUGAGCAUGAUGACUCCCGCCAUUACCAGGGAGGUGUAGGCCACUGUGAUUUCAGAGAUUCACUAGCCGGCCUCGAAGGGGCGCGGGCCCGCUGCGCAAAGAGCGCAAAGCUCCCAGCGCUGCGCACCACGGCCGCAGCAAGGCGCCAGAAUGGGUUUUCCUGAUGCCCAGGAUUUGGGAACCGCGGGUUUGAGUUUCGGGGCGUCCCGCAGCCCCAGGGAAACGUCGUCGCGGCUUAUCGCGCCAACUUUGUGCAGCUUCGACCUGAGUAAAAAAAUCUCUUUUGCUGCUCAGGAGGCAGCUCCGCCGUGGUCUCCCUUGAGACAUCUUCCUCAGGUUAUAAGACCUCCAUUCCAAAAGGAUCUCUACCCCAUGCCAGGGAGGAAGGAAUGCUGCACGGAGAGGUCAAGAAGAAUCUGACCAGAAAGACCUUGCUGGCUUUCCGCACUCAGUCUAUUAGCAUUAGAUGAUGCCCUUUUUGUCUAAUCACAUUUUUUACACAGCUGUCCAUUCUUCAUUGAACUUAAGCAUUAAAAUGAAUUUUUUUAUGUAACUCUGGGUCUUCAUUCUGAAGGCUCCCAUGUCACAUAAAACUAUAAUUAAAUAAAUAUGCUUUGCUUUGC
rnacentral:lncRNA from 1 species